UACAGAGGGGGGCAAGCGUUGUUCGGAAUUACUGGGCGUAAAGGGCGCGUAGGCGGCCUGCUAAGUCGAACGUGAAAUCCCCGGGCUCAACCCGGGAACUGCGUCCGAUACUGGUGGGCUUGAAUCCGGGAGAGGGAUGUGGAAUUCCAGGUGUAGCGGUGAAAUGCGUAGAUAUCUGGAGGAACACCGGUGGCGAAGGCGGCAUCCUGGACCGGUAUUGACGCUGAGGCGCGAAAGCCAGGGGAGCAAACGGG
rnacentral:rRNA from 1 species